GGCAUGGCGCUGCUACACAUGCAGUCGACGAUGAACCACUUCGGUGGGGAUUAGUGGCGAACGGGUGAGUAACACGUGGGCAAUCUGCCCUGCACUCUGGGACAAGCCCUGGAAACGGGGUCUAAUACCGGAUACUGACCCGCCUGGGCAUCCAGGCGGUUCGAAAGCUCCGGCGGUGCAGGAUGAGCCCGCGGCCUAUCAGCUUGUUGGUGAGGUAACGGCUCACCAAGGCGACGACGGGUAGCCGGCCUGAGAGGGCGACCGGCCACACUGGGACUGAGACACGGCCCAGACUCCUACGGGAGGCAGCAGUGGGGAAUAUUGCACAAUGGGCGAAAGCCUGAUGCAGCGACGCCGCGUGAGGGAUGACGGCCUUCGGGUUGUAAACCUCUUUCAGCAGGGAAGAAGCGCAAGUGACGGUACCUGCAGAAGAAGCGCCGGCUAACUACGUGCCAGCAGCCGCGGUAAUACGUAGGGCGCGAGCGUUGUCCGGAAUUAUUGGGCGUAAAGAGCUCGUAGGCGGCUUGUCGCGUCGGUUGUGAAAGCCCGGGGCUUAACCCCGGGUCUGCAGUCGAUACGGGCAGGCUAGAGUUCGGUAGGGGAGAUCGGAAUUCCUGGUGUAGCGGUGAAAUGCGCAGAUAUCAGGAGGAACACCGGUGGCGAAGGCGGAUCUCUGGGCCGAUACUGACGCUGAGGAGCGAAAGCGUGCGGAGCGAACAGGAUUAGAUACGCUGGUAGUCCACGCCGUAGACCGUGAGCACUACGUGUCGCCCGACAUUUCCCCGUCGAGAUAUGCCGCAAUUUACGCCUUUAACUGCGCGAAUCUCGGGGACUCCCCGUCGCAAAUGUU
rnacentral:rRNA from 1 species